GUUCAUAAUAUUUCCUCUCCCUCAACCCUUCCCCUGACUUCUCUGUGGAGAUUGCUGACACAACUAUCAGUUCAUCCCCACAUGCAAGUGUGUAGAUGUAAUCCUGGACUCUCCUUUCAGCCCUACAUCCAAUUCGUGUCCAAACAUUGCCACCUCAACUCCUGCAACAUCUACAAAAUAUGACCCUUCCUUAACCAAUGACACCACAAAGCUUCAAAUGUACUUCCUAGUUAAAUCCUGCCUCGACUACUGCAACUCCCUUCUCAUUGACUUGCCUUUACACAGGCUACCCGCUCCUCAGUUUAUCAUGAAUGCUGCUGCCAGAUGACUCAUAAACCUUACUAACCCCGUUCAAUGUCUAUUACCCCUCUCUGCCGAUCCCUCUAUUGACUUCCACUCCCCCAACAAAUAAAAUUUAAAAUACUAACAACAAUCUACAAGGCCAUCCACAUGUCUGCCCCCAACUACAUCAAUAACAUUGUAUCAAAAUACCAAACCAAACUAUUCUCUUUACUCCUCCUAAGACCUCCCGCUCUCUAGCUCUUGCAUCACUUUCUCUCAUGUUCAUCUCCAGGACUUCUGCAGAGCCUCUCCAAUCCUCUGGAACUAAUUACCCAUAUUGGUCUGACUAUCUCCUAUUCUAUCCACAUUCAGGCAAUCCCUGAAAAUCUCUUUAGAAAAGCCUAUCCCGCCUCUACCCAACAAAUCCAUUUGUUUGAUAAAUAGCUAUCUCAUAUACAUGUAAGAUAUACAGACUUAUUUAUUAAGGCCAAAAGCAUUAUAGAAAAUGAAAUAACCCAGUCAACAUGUAUCUCACCUUUGAAAAGUCAAGCCUCACUGAUUUUCUGGGUGACAGCUUUUCGUUAUCAUAUUUUCCUUUCUUAACUUGCAUGCAAAAAAAACAACUGUUAUAUGUGUAUUUUAAGUACAUUAAAUGAGUAAAACACUUUUUUUUACCUUCUUACCCUACUUUCUGUAGUCUCCAGAUUUUUUUGAUGGCCGUGCAGUUGACCCAGUUUCCGGAAAACAUUUUCUGUUUAACAGCUUCACGGGGCAAACCAAAUGGGUUUAGCAGCCACACAUCCCUCACGCUGUACAGCAACUUCAACCUGGACCUAAUUCCUAAUGUCUUAUUGUUUUCAUUUUUCUGUUUUGCCUUUGAGUGCAAUUAAUGAUAUACUAAUAGAGUAAUAAUAUAGCAAUAAUAUUUCCAAGGUAUUUAAAAAAUUCAAGACUGUACAUAGUUAAAAGUAAAAUUCAUGUAUUUUUAGUGAGCACUUAUUUUGGGCAGUACUGCCAAGCAUGCACAGAACUGUACUGGAACACUAAAAAAAUGCAUCAAAAGUG